AACGCACCUUGCGCUCUUUGGUAUUCCGAAGAGCAUGCCUGUUUGAGUGUCAUUAAAUUCUCAAACCAACUUUUAUUAGUUGGCUUUGGACUUUGAGGGUUUUGCUGAUGAAAGUCGGCUCCCUUUAAAUGCAUUAGCUGGUAUUACUUCAUGUGAAAGCCAGACUAUGGUGUGAUAAUUAUCUACGCUAUUGGUCUUGGUGGAAGCAAGUUGUUGGCCGCUUCUAAUCGUUGUUAACAGCAACAAUCUUGAAAAUUUGACCUCAAAUCAGGUAGGACUACCCGCUGAACUUAA
rnacentral:misc_RNA from 1 species